UACGUAGGGUGCAAGCGUUGUCCGGAAUUAUUGGGCGUAAAGAGCUCGUAGGCGGUCUGUCGCGUCGGCUGUGAAAACCCGGAGCUCAACUCCGGGCCUGCAGUCGAUACGGGCAAACUGGAGUGUUGCAGGGGAGACUGGAAUUCCUGGUGUAGCGGGUGAAAUGCGCAGAUAUCAGGAGGAACACCGGUGGCGAAGGCGGGUCUCUGGGCCGAUACUGACGCUGAGGAGCGAAAGCGUGGGGAGCGAACAGG
rnacentral:rRNA from 1 species